rnacentral:tRNA from 4 species
GCGGGGAUAGCUCAGCUGGGAGAGCGUCAGACUGAAGUCCACUUCAUUCAUCAAUCUGAAGGCCGUGUGUUCGAUCCACACUCACCGCA